rnacentral:lncRNA from 1 species
GAGUCACCUACAGGGCUUGUUAAACCACAGAUUGCAGGGGUACCUAAGCCCAGAAUUUCUGAUUUGGUAGGUCUGGAGUAGGUCCUGAUAAUCUGCUUUUCUAACAGGUUGUCGGGUGAUGCUGAUUGUGCUAGUCCUAGGAACAUCUUAAUAACUACGUCGCCUUAUUAAGCCUUGGAUAAAGAAGACCACUUCAUGGUACCAUCAGAUGGAGGCCCCUGACCUGAGGAAACCCUACUUCACCAUCGGCAGAACCAGCCCCCAAUAUUUCAAUGUUAUUUUUGACCAGAUAAUGAAUGAAUAUGGUUCAAAAUUCAGAAAGUGAAAAAGGAUGUAUAAAAGGAUAUUUGAGACAUAAAAGCAAUGUGGGUUGGGAAAAAGAACGUAUACCUUUCCCCCAUUUUUGUACCAAUGAUACCAGAUGUCAAGGAAACGUAUUUGAAGGAGAGCCCUCAACAUUUCGAAAAGUUUGGCUGACAGGAGGGAUAUCAUCUUGUUGAUUCUCUUCAACAAUCCUUUGAGGCCAGCUUUGGACUAAGAAGAAUGAAGUGGUGAUUCCCAGCAAAUUGUGAAUCCUAAGGGAAGAAGGAUGGAGUCAUAGUACAUUUCAGAAGAGCUCUAUGUGGUCUGGGCUGCAAAUGAAAAGAGAACACAGAGUCCCCAACGACCAUAAGAACCUUUAAGGUUUCCACUACGGUUUCCUGAAGAUAUGAACAUUUGAGUCACUGGAAAGUAACACAUCUCUCUGAAGAUCAGUGAAGUGGCUUUCUGGUUUAUAUAUCAGCCUCCUGGCUGUGGUGGAAUUAAUCUUAAAAUGCACACUCACCAGAUCUCUAAUCCCAUUUCUCAAUUUUGGGAGACUGAGAAAAGGGAGGCAUAUGAGUUUGGGCUGCCAUAUUGAUCCAAGCUGCAAGUUCAUUUUUC